rnacentral:rRNA from 1 species
AUGGAAACAACAAACUUCCCAAGUGUGGGAAGUUCAAGUUCUCAGAACCAGGUCUAUUCAUUCACAGGAGUGAACCUGAACCUCCCAAAUGUGAAGCUUGAAAUUGAGCCAUCCUUGCAUGUGAAAAAGAACAAUGUUAGUGGUUUACAACAAUCACAUGUCUCAACAUUGAAUGCUUUCAAUACAAAAGUGGUAGGGUCAUCUAGUAGUAUGAAAAUAGAAGACUUCUCUAGUGCGGGUGCCUCCAGUUCCCAAAACCAGUGUUAUACAUCGCUAGGAUUGGACCUGAACCUCCCAAGAUUAGAAGAUACCUUGAAAGGAAAGAAUGUGGGUGCAACCAUUGAUUCAAACUUCUUGGUUGCAAAUGAGGAAACACAACAUAACAAUUCAUACAUCCACAAAAAAUAUGAUCGAAGCAAUGUCAUGGAAUGCUUCGCACAUGAGAAAAAAAGUGUUGAUUCCUCAACCACAAAGGAUCUGUCCAGUUGUAGCAUCCGCAAUCCAAAAACAUUUGUAGCAUCCAGCUCCAAUGCUACAUCAAAAUCUCUACGGAAAAGCAACACUAAAGAUUACAAGAGUGGUCGCCUUCCAACACUACAAGAAUAUUGCCGCCUUCCAACACCAAAGAUUACACAACCUGGAGGGGGUCAAUAUCAAAAGCAAUCCAAAUUCUAUAAUUGUGUAGAGGACAUGAAUCUGAGCAAUGGUCCUCGAGAUGCAACUGCCACUCCGGGAGAAGCAAGAGAGGAUACCCCAAUGGAAAUCUCGUGGGUCAGAAAGAAGUUGCUAAACAUGAGGAAGGGAAUCUCCAUGAAGAAGUCACAAGUUCCAUCAAAUUAUGCAACUGGGCAUUCCCAGAUUUUGCCUAGUUCCAUGGCUUACUCAGAAGAUAGUUCAAAAAUUCUUGGUUUCCCUAUUAAUACAACCACUGAGAAAGAUCCUCAACUCUCAUGCACUAUGCACAAGGGCACAGAUGACACAUCCUCGAGUAAGGGUGUAGCUGACAUGGAAAUGCAAUUCCAUAACAAGGAUGACACCAAUGCCAGGAAUCUCAUUGACCUGAAUGUUGCACUACCUUUCAUGGAUGAAAUGGAGAUAGAUGCCCACGCGCCAGAAAGCGACACUAUUUCUCAAGAACCAGAUGAUUCUUCUAAUGAAGAUCAUGUUGUGACUGCUGCAAAGAAUCUUAUGGCCAUGCAUAAGGUUGGGUUCCAAGCAGGAUUACCUGAAGGUAAUAACAAUGGUGAUGACUCUGAAGCCAUGAAACAGCAACUGUUUAAAACCAAACACCGUAUUAGCAGCUCAACUCUAUUAUCCAAAGAGAAUAAGAGGAGCGAAGACCAUGGUGUUGCUUCAUCUUCAACCUAG